rnacentral:tRNA from 1 species
GUGACAGUAGCUCAGUGGAUAGAGCACCUAAAUUCCUUCUUCACCACUUAUCCGCAAGGGUCGACGAAUUAGGGUUAUCGCCUUCUACGCGGGAGGUCGGGGGUUCGAUUCCCCCCUGUCACA